rnacentral:lncRNA from 1 species
UUUGGACAGGCACCUCUCAGGGACACGGAGUUUUACUACUACCAUUUUUUGUUUCAGUGUCUAUGUGCAGUUCUACUUUGAGGAUGUUCAGGUUCUCCAUGCUGCUGAAGGACAACUUCAGAAAGGCCGUAGGAGUGAAAACAGCUCCUCUUUGAGGAAGAAGAAAGAUGACAAUGUAACACCUGAGCUGGAAGCUCCGGAGGCGAAAGUGCUGAAAUUGGAGGAUCCCAAGUCAGAUACUCACAGAGAUGAGAACUGUCAGGGGGGGCAGAGUAGCACUGGAACAACCAGCUGUGUAUCUCACCUGUUCUUGGUUACCCAGAAAGAGGGGCUUAUGUUACGCAAUUACCAACUACCCAGAGAAGAUGGAGGACAGGAGCUGCAGCACAGUUUCCAGGCCACAGUGCUGUGGCUGGGCAGACCUCGGCUGUGGAGCCACCCUAGAGAAAUUGGGAAUCUACCAGAGCUGGAGGACACCAGUUGUGAUGGAGAAGAGGGCGUGACACAGCAAGAAGCACUACUCCUCUUUAUGGGAAAGUCUCUUCGAUGGUUUCCAUUUCUGCACCAGGAUGGACUGUAUCGCUUCAUUGUGCCCUGCUGCUCGGACUUGGAAGUGUUUGACAAGCUCUGUUUUCCACCUGUGCCAGCAACCUUCCUGACCAGGCCAUCUUGCCCCCUGUGCCUGCCUGUCCAAGAUACCUGGCACUUACAGCAUGAGACCUGGAUCUCCCAUCUGCCUGAACGCCAGCUGGGAGCCAAGAUGGUGCUGACAGGCAUGGACCAGAGAAUUUCCUCCAUUCCAGAAGUGCUUAGCAGCAGGUAUGUGGGUCUCCCCCAAAUUACAAGUGACUGUGUCUUAGGGAAUGGGUCUGUAUUCAUUUUUAUUGCAAACAGUGCUAUGUUAAACAGCAAUUAACACUAAGAAUAUGGUUUGGAAAUCUUACUGUGUGGAAGCAGUCCACACCUCUCCCCUCCUAGUUAUCAAAGCUAACCGGAUUUCUGGACACUGCAAAAUAGUGUCUAGAAAAUGUUUCAGCUGCUGCUGGUAUGGACUAGGAUCCAAAGUUCUCUGCUAAAUUCCUGGCAGAAGUGGAAACAGGUACAGCAGGGAAAAUGAGACUGAAUAUAUGACUUAUUUUUGUCAUUUGUAGAUUAUUUUAGCAUAACUCAAAAAAUACUAGAAUUAGAAGCUUUUCUGUUCAAAGCGUGUUUAAUCUGGGGUGAUAUGCAUGCACACUGGAAUUUUCACUAGUGCCUUACAAUAAACUGUUUUUCUUUCCUC